rnacentral:RNase_P_RNA from 1 species
GAGUUGUACCGAAUGAUCGCGCCCGUAAGGGUGAGGAAAGUCCGAACACACCCAUAGUAAUAUGGAGGACAGUAGCGGGUAAUGCCCGUCUGGAGUAAUCCACGAGGUGCGAACAGAAACGAUCCUAUUUAGUUAGGCUGAAACGGCUAAAUCCUUACUUGUGUGCAAGACCGUACCGCGUGCGGAGCACGCAGUUCGUAAAGUUAAAAGUUAUAAAGUUCAUAAAGUAAGUCGCAAAUGCAGCUUCUUUAUAAACUUUCAACUUUAUAAACUUUCUGACUUGCGCGCUCUGCGCGCGGGGUGUCGCUUGAGGUGUAUGGCAACAUACAUCCUAGAUAAAUGAUCAUCAAAACAGAAUUCGGCUUACGAGUACAACAACAUG